rnacentral:rRNA from 1 species
AACUGCCAGGCAUCAAAUUAAGCAGUAAACUGAUGUAAAAAUCAGUGGUUGUAAAAGAAUUCGGUGGAGCGGUAGUUCAGUUGGUUAGAAUACCUGCCUGUCACGCAGGGGGUCGCGGGUUCGAGUCCCGUCCGUUCCGCCACUUAUUAAGAGCCCUGAGCAUUAGCUCAGGGCUUUUUCUUUGCCUGCGAUUUAAUUAUUGCUCAAUUCGCAAAAAUCCUCUGCAUUUCUCGCUCUUUUUCUACAAAGCGCUGAAGGUCAUAAUCCCCUCAGUUAACGAACAUAGUGAUUAAAA